rnacentral:tRNA from 1 species
GGUUGUAGCUCAAUGGCAAAGUGCCUGCUUGGCAAGCAUGAAGUCCUGAGUUCAAGUCUCAGUACCA